CUGGCUCAGGAUGAACGCUGGCGGCGUGCCUAAUACAUGCAAGUCGAGCGAAUGGAUUAAGAGCUUGCUCUUAUGAAGUUAGCGGCGGACGGGUGAGUAACACGUGGGUAACCUGCCCAUAAGACUGGGAUAACUCCGGGAAACCGGGGCUAAUACCGGAUAACAUUUUGAACYGCAUGGUUCGAAAUUGAAAGGCGGCUUCGGCUGUCACUUAUGGAUGGACCCGCGUCGCAUUAGCUAGUUGGUGAGGUAACGGCUCACCAAGGCAACGAUGCGUAGCCGACCUGAGAGGGUGAUCGGCCACACUGGGACUGAGACACGGCCCAGACUCCUACGGGAGGCAGCAGUAGGGAAUCUUCCGCAAUGGACGAAAGUCUGACGGAGCAACGCCGCGUGAGUGAUGAAGGCUUUCGGGUCGUAAAACUCUGUUGUUAGGGAAGAACAAGUGCUAGUUGAAUAAGCUGGCACCUGA
rnacentral:rRNA from 1 species